rnacentral:rRNA from 1 species
GUAGUCUGCAACCCGACUACAUGAAGCUGGAAUCGCUAGUAAUCGCGAAUCAGAAUGUCGCGGUGAAUACGUUCCCGGGUCUUGUACACACCGCCCGUCACACCAUGGGAGUCGGAAAUGCCCGAAGUCAGUGACCCAACCGUAAGGAGGGAGCUGCCGAAGGUGGAGCCGGUAACUGGGGUGAAGUCGUAACAAGGUAGC